AAAGUUCUUCGGAGGAGAUUCACCGCAUGAUAACAGAGAUCGACACCGAUGGAGAUGGCUACAUCGAUCUCAAAGAAUUUGCCGAUUUCCACCGUGGAAGUUCCAUCGGUGAUACAGACGCCGCAGGUGGAAUGGAGGAUUU